CUCAGUCAUUUCAUUCAGGGUAAGCGGAGUUAGCCGUGUGCUAGCCUGCCCCAGAACAGGACCGUUCUGAAGGAUUUGUUGCCAUAGAAAUGUCCCUGGCUAGAAGGCCUACCUGUUGCUGACGUGUUAACUGGCUCGUCCUGAAGUCCUAUUAUCCACACCAAUCCAAAGACUGAGGUCACCAUGCUGCUCGUUAUGGCUCACACCUGUCACCAUCAUUACGUGCACCUGCGCAUCAUCAGACUCAUCAUCUCCCUGGACUCCACCAUCUCCUUGGACUCCACCAUCUCCCUGGACUCCACCAUCUCCCUGGACUCCAUCAUCUCCCUGGACUCCACCAUCUCCCUGGACUCCAUCAUCUCCCUGGACUCCAUCAUCUCCCUGGACUCCAUCAUCUCCCUGAUUCCA